rnacentral:rRNA from 1 species
GACGUAGGGGGCGAGCGUUAUCCGGAAUUAUUGGGCGUAAAGCGCACGCAGGCGGCCUGACAGGUUCCGUGUGACACUGCUUGGCUCAACCAAGCAAGGCCACGGAAAACGGGCAGACUUGAGAACGAGAGAGGGACAUGGAAUUCCAGGAGGAGCAGUGACAUGCGUAGAGCUCUGGAGGAACACCCAAGGCGAAGGCAGUGUCCUGGCUCGUUUCUGACGCUAAGGUGCGAAAGCCAGGGGAG